rnacentral:rRNA from 1 species
UGGGGAAUAUUGCACAAUGGGCGAAAGCCUGAUGCAGCAACGCCGCGUGAGUGAUGAAGGCCUUCGGGUUGUAAAGCUCUUUUGUCCGGAAAGAAAUCCUUGGCUCUAAUACAGUCGGGGGAUGACGGUACCGGAAGAAUAAGCACCGGCUAACUACGUGCCAGCAGCCGCGGUAAUACGUAGGGUGCAAGCGUUAAUCGGAAUUACUGGGCGUAAAGCGUGCGCAGGCGGUUUGCUAAGACCGAUGUGAAAUCCCCGGGCUCAACCUGGGAACUGCAUUGGUGACUGGCAGGCUAGAGUAUGGCAGAGGGGGGUAGAAUUCCACGUGUAGCAGUGAAAUGCGUAGAGAUGUGGAGGAAUACCGAUGGCGAAGGCAGCCCCCUGGGCCAAUACUGACGCUCAUGCACGAAAAGCGUGGGGAGCAAAACAGGAUUAGAUACCCUGGUAGUCCACGCCCUAAACGAUGUCAACUAGUUGUUGGGGAUUCAUUUCCUUAGUAACGUAGCUAACGCGUGAAGUUGACCGCCUGGGGAGUACGGUCGCAAGAUUAAAACUCAAAAUGAAUUGACGGGGUCAUAGCUGUUUCCU